GACGAACGCUGGCGGCGUGCUUAACACAUGCAAGUCGAACGGAAAGGCCCUGCUUUUGUGGGGUGCUCGAGUGGCGAACGGGUGAGUAACACGUGAGUAACCUGCCCUUGACUUUGGGAUAAAUCCAGGAAACUGGGGCUAAUACCGGAUAGGAGCUCCUGCUGCAUGGUGGGGGUUGGAAAGUUUCGGCGGUUGGGGAUGGACUCGCGGCUUAUCAGCUGGUUGGUGUGGUAGGGGCUGCCCAAGGUUUUGACGGGUAGCCGGCCUGGGAGGGUGACCGGCGACAAUGGUACUGAGGGACGGAGCAGAAUCCUACGGGAGGCAGCGGGCGGGAGUCUUGCGGAGCGGGCGGACGCGUGAGGCAGCAACGCCGCGUGCGGAAUAACGGCCUUCGGGUUAUAAACCGAUUUCGACUGUGCUGAAGCGUGAGUGACGGUAAUGGGUAAAGAAGCACCGGCUAACUACGUG
rnacentral:rRNA from 1 species